AUUGAACGCUGGCGGCGUGCUUUACACAUGCAAGUCGGACGAAGUGGCGGACGGGUGAGUAACGCGUAAUCAACCUGCCCUUCAGAGGGGGACAACAGUUGGAAACGACUGCUAAUACAGCAUACUGAAGGAGGGGAUUGCGUCUGAUUCGCUAGUUGGAGGGGUAAAGGCCCACCAAGGCGAGGAUCAGUAGCCGGUCUGAGAGGAUGAACGGCCACAUUGGGACUGAGACACGGCCCAGACUCCCUAGGGAGGCAGCCGUGGGGAAUCUUCCGCCAUUGACGAAAGUCUGACUGAGCAACGCCGCGUGAGUGAUGACGGCCUUCGGGUUGUAAAGCUCUGUUAAUCGGGACGCGGUACCGGAAUAGAAAGCCGCGGCUAACUACGUGCCAGCAGCCGCGGUAAUAC
rnacentral:rRNA from 1 species